rnacentral:misc_RNA from 1 species
UAUUGAUUUUGGACUCUCAGUAUUUUUCAAGCCAGGGGAGAAGUUUGCAGAGAUUGUUGGGAGUCCAUAUUACAUGGCACCAGAAGUGUUGAGGCGUAAUUAUGGUCCAGAGGUUGAUGUGUGGAGUGCUGGAGUGAUACUUUAUAUUUUAUUAUGUGGGGUUCCUCCGUUUUGGGCAGAGACUGAGCAGGGUGUUGCUCUGGCAAUUCUGAGGGGAGUGAUUGAUUUUAAGAGAGAACCAUGGCCUCAGAUUUCAGACAGUGCUAAGAGUCUUGUUCGGCAGAUGUUGGAGCCAGAUCCUAAAAAGCGCUUGACUGCUCAACAGGUGCUUGAACAUCCCUGGCUACAAAAUGCAAAGAAAGCUCCAAAUGCCCCAUUGGGAGACAUUGUGAGGACAAGGCUCAAGCAGUUUUCAUUGAUGAAUAGGUUUAAGAAGAAAGCAUUGCGGGUAAUUGCGGAACACCUAUCUNAAGAGGUUGAAGUAAUCAGAGACAUGUUUGCAUUGAUGGAUACUGAUAAUGAUGGAAAAGUAACGUAUGAGGAACUGAGGGCUGGUCUUCGGAAGGUUGGUUCACAGCUGGCUGAACCAGAGAUAAAGAUGCUUAUGGAAGUGGCUGAUGUUGAUGGGAAUGGAGUGCUGGACUAUGGGGAGUUCGUAGCUGUAACAAUUCAUUUGCAGAAAAUGGAGAAUGAUGAACACUUCCGCAGGGCAUUUAUGUUUUUUGAUAAGGAUGGUAGUGGAUAUAUAGAAUUAGAUGAGCUACGAGAGGCCUUGGCAGAUGAAUCUGGUGAAACGGAUAAUGAUGUGCUGAAAGACAUCAUGCGUGAAGUUGACACUGACAAGGAUGGAUGCAUUAGUUAUGAAGAAUUUGUUGCUAUGAUGAAAGCUGGAACUGACUGGAGAAAGGCAUCUAGACAAUAUUCAAGGGAGAGAUUCAAGAGUUUGAGCCUCAACCUGAUGAA